rnacentral:rRNA from 1 species
UACGGAGGGGGCAAGCGUUGUUCGGAAUUACUGGGCGUAAAGGGCGCGCAGGCGGCUGCUCAAGUCAGGCGUGAAAGGCCUGGGCUCAACCCGGGAAGUGCAUCUGAUACUGCUUGGCUUGAAUACUGGAGAGGAUAGUGGAAUUCCUGGUGUAGUGGUGAAAUACGUAGAUAUCAGGAGGAACACCGGUGGCGAAGGCGGCUAUCUGGCCAUGUAUUGACGCUGAGACACGAAAGCGUGGGGAGCAAACAGG